rnacentral:lncRNA from 1 species
AGCAAAAAAAAACUUUGGAUAAGGCAAGAAUUCUGAUCCAAAUUGGACUCUUAAUUUUUUUAUUCAUGAAUCUCAAUUUAAAUACAUAAUUAAAUUGUAGCAGACUCCUAAGUGAAUCAACUAGUAGCCCACUGUGAAAAAUUAACUAAUUUACUUAGUAGUUCCUAAAAAAUUAGGAUAGCACGUUCCACGUCUUAUUUGACUCAAACUCCAAUCACAACCAAUCUAUCAAAUAUCAGCAUUAAUUCCAACAAGUUUGCUGCAGGUGAUGCUCGUGUACUUCAACUGUGAAAGGAUACAAGAUCGCCCUCAAAAUUCAGGGAGUCGUUCUUCCCAACGUGGAGAGCGAUUCUAUGGUCUUGAAUUUGAAAUCCAACCAGUCGGAUUUGCACGAUGCUAGGGUAAUGUUUUCCCCAAUUUUUCGAUGGAAAUCCAUACCCUUCCUUUCAAAUGCUCUUCUCGGCUCCAUGGAGAUGAGAUGGUGGUGAGGCAGUGUAUUUUUCAUGAUGUUGGCACUUGAUUAAAGUUUUAUUUGAACAAGAAAAGUUUGCAAAGGUGGGUUUUUCCCACCGUAGUGCAGUAUGUUAUAAUUCGUUGCUCCCAUGGCCUCAUUUUGAUUAUGUUAUUUUGUCGUGGUUGUUAGAUUUGGAGAUGGGUUCUAGGUGGACUGUUUCAUUUCAUGUGUUGAAUUUAAGUUACCCAAAUUAUAUCAUGCUUGUUACUUAUUUGAUGAAAUGUUUGAGUAGUAUUUUCGUAAAUUCUGCAUGUGGAAAUAGAAAGAUAUUGGAUGCGUGAAAAUGGAAAUGGAAAAGAUCCCAUUGAGAGAAAAUUAAAGAGGAUCAAGCAAUCCCAAGAUGAGAGCCCGUUAGUGUGAAAGACAUCAAAAUAUACCUACGUGAGCCUCCACAUGAGUAUAUCGAAGUGCGGCUAUACAUCCUUUAGUGAAAUCCUGAGAACAAGGUUGCAUUGUAUGGAUGAAUAAGCAUAUUUACAUGCACUGAGUGGUAUCUGUUGAGAUCUUUGAUUUAUUGAUUUGCAUAGAGUUGUGAGUAAUUGGAAAUCUUCCAUAUAUGGUGAUUAUAAAAAUGUUUGGUUUUGGGAUACAUUGCUCAUGUGUGUAAUAAUGUGAUUUAUUUAUGUGUUUUUCCCAAGGUAGAAAAACCCCUACUAAAGCAUAAACAUUUCAUGCUUGCCCUCAUCCCCUAUAGUUUAGAUGUAGUUUUGGAGGAACCUCUUACAUGAAUAAAAGCAUUAGAGGAUGUAGGGUUGAUAAAUAAUUGAUAUCAUGCUUCUGUGUCCAUCAUGUUUUGGAUGCUUGGUUGGUUAUCUUAAAGCAUUGCUGUUUUGCUCUUUGCAUCCCUUGCUAUAAUUUUAGGCGUGCUCUUAAAUCAUAUAUAGGAUUAGGCAUGUGAGACAAUCAUAUACCUUUUGAUUUAUAACUUCAUUUGAAAAACCUUGACUUGUAAUUCCAUACAUACGAAGGAAAUGGUGCUAAGGCUGAAUAUGGAGAUAGAGAUUUGAACUCAUGUUCAGCUAAGUGAUGUAAGAAGCAUAAUGGAAAUUAAAUUUAGCCAUUUGGUUAGGUAAUAGUAUGUAUGUUGGCUUGAACUUGAAAGUUUUUGAAAUGUGGGGAUGGAAUCUUAUGGAAAGCCUUGAGGCUAACUGUUACACGAUUAGAUUUAUAUAUGUUCUUGUAUAUGGUUUGAGAAACAAAGUAUAUGUAGAAGAUUGGCAGCUUCCAUGUGAAGCCUGAAGUUCAUGUUGAGAGUUGCCUUAGAUGUCUCUUUGAGAUUGAGUACUUGUGUGCAAAGAUUGGAAGCAGGGAAAUGGUGAAAAGGGUAUUGUAUGGAAGAAAAUCUGGAAACUGGCCAUCAUGUGAGCAAAAAAAGAUUGUGCCACCCAACCGAUCAAGUGGUACCACUAACCGGCCAAUCAACUACGUAACAUGGACCCCACUACCUAAGGGCCAGUCUAUAGCCAUGCAGAGCCAAUCGAUUGGCACCUGAUCGAUUGGCACCUGGUCGAUCGUUCAUUCCCUUUGUUUGCAUUGUUAGCCUAUACUCCACUUUUUGAUCCCUUUGGAGCCUUAGAAGCAUAUGUUAGGUCCUUAAAACCCUUUUAGGAUUGUUAAUGGGUCUCAUUGAUAGCUUUAGAUCAUGUGGUUCUGGAAUAUGACUAAUUCAAUAUUUUAAUUAGAUUAAAUGAACAUACUAGACCAUGUUAACUGGUAGCUAGGUCAAUUUUACCUUCGGGGUUAAACCUUCAACCCCAAAAUUGUGGUUUGGCUUUUGGGUCAUUUGGAACCCUGGUUGGGACAACAUGGUACCAAAGCUUGAAGUUGCAAUAGUACUUUGGGAUUGUUUAUUUUACACAUGCUUACAUAGCUUUUGUUACAUAUUAUUAUUCUUAACCAUGAUUAUUAAUUGGAUAAGAUAUUAACAUGUGAUGAGAUGGUGAGAGUGUUGGAAUGGCACGCAUAUGUCUCAAUACGAUACACUGAACCCGUGAUGUUGAUUAGUUUUGUUAAAUGAUAUGUUGAGUGCUUGUUUGAUUAUUGCUUUGAAUUUCUUGCUAUAUUUGUAUUCUUGCUGCACCUCCUUGGUAAUCAUCCUUGAGGUUGACUUCAUUUGGGAAACUAUUGGAAACUAGCUGGCAUGGCAGGAAAAUCAAGGAGGGGUAGGCUCAGGCACCAUCACCAUUAUCAGUGGCAAAUUUGUUAGGAGAUGAGGUAUCUGAAUUAAGACAGAAGUUGAGGGAGAUGACCCAAGCUUUUAGCAAUCAAAGGUGGGGAGUAGCAGGAAACACCUUUUCAGUAAGAUGGUUCAGGGGCAUGUGACCUAGAGAGCCUCAAGCCAAGAUACACACGAG